GUCUUAACCGGGCGUUAAGUUGCAGGGUAUAGACCCGAAACCCGGUGAUCUAGCCAUGGGCAGGUUGAAGGUUGGGUAACACUAACUGGAGGACCGAACCGACUAAUGUUGAAAAAUUAGCGGAUGACCUGUGGCUGGGGGUGAAAGGCCAAUCAAACCGGGAGAUAGCUGGUUCUCCCCGAAAGCUAUUUAGGUAGCGCCUCGUGAAUUCAUCUCCGGGGGUAGAGCACUGUUUCGGCUAGGGGGCCAUCCCGGCUUACCAACCCGAUGCAAACUGCGAAUACCGGAGAAUGUUAUCACGGGAGACACACGGCGGGUGCUAACGUCCGUCGUGAAGAGGGAAACAACCCAGACCGCCAGCUAAGGUCCCAAAGUCAUGGUUAAGUGGGAAACGAUGUGGGAAGGCCCAGACAGCCAGGAUGUUGGCUUAGAAGCAGCCAUCAUUUAAAGAAAGCGUAAUAGCUCACUGGUCGAGUCGGCCUGCGCGGAAGAUGUAACGGGGCUAAACCAUGCACCGAAGCUGCGGCAGCGACGCUGAUGCGUUGUUGGGUAGGGGAGCGUUCUGUAAGCCUGUGAAGGUGGCCUGUGAGGGUUGCU
rnacentral:rRNA from 1 species